UCAGGUUGCAUACGGAGUAUAUGAUGCUCCAAAAUUUGAUGUCAAAUCCAAUAAUCCAUGCUGAUGUCUUCUGCUCGACAAAUGCAGUGAAAACUGCUGAUUGUGCUCCUCCGACGAAGCUCAUCCAUGUGUGUCAUGGUUGUAACACCAGCCAAGGAAACUACGGUUCCUACAAUCUUCGCUAUCCCGCGAGGACUUUUUGCAUCAAGAUGCUCCAAUCUAAAUUAGGAGGUGAUGUAUAGGCUCAUGGAAGACACUGAAUCCACUUCUUUGUCAUCCUCCACUAUUCACCACUCUUUAUUUAGGUUUUAUGUUAGCUGAUAUUGGUCCAAUUAUAGAAUUCGUUUGGAUAUAUAAAUAUUUUAUUCAGCACAUCUUUAUUUACUAUUCGGUAAAUAAGGAGUAUAAUCAAUGUUUAGAAACAUUUACGGUAUUCAACUUCGAAUAAUUCUUUUGAAUUAAGAUUAACUCACUUCUUCAAGUUUUUAACCAGAAAAGAAUAUUCUCAUAGCAUACAAGUUAUCAUCAAAUAAUAUAUUCUGACAUCCAAAGAGUCUCUUCUUAUCACCAAAUUACUUGUAUUAGCAUCUGAAUAAGUCCUUGUUGAUCUAGUAAAGGGAUUGAUACUACUGCAAAAUUAGUGACAUUCCCAUGGGGAACAAACUAUAGCAAGUUGAUGUUGUUCUUAGUGCACCAAAUGGGCUAACACAUCAUGCUUUUGCUGUUGUAUGUAUUGAUGGAGAACCUACUGGAAAAGCUUUGGAGCAUCACCUGGUGGAGAAGAGACAGAAUGUGCUUCAUUCCAAUUCUUACUGGAAUCCUCCAGCAAUGCUGCAUCAUAUAUACUGAUUUGGUUUGUAAGAUAAUUUUCCCAGAAUUGGGAGCUUCAGUCUCACCGUUGGUACCACAAUUUGAUUAUACAGAGAUCAGUUGUAUCGCCGACUGUUCCUAGUGCAAAUACCAAAAGGCUUGGUGGUUGGUAUCUGAGGUCCCAUAUUUGAAGUUUAGUUGUGUUACAUUUUCAGCUAAAUUUAUUUCUAAAAGAAAUAAACGAAGAGGGUUGCAUGCUACC